rnacentral:rRNA from 1 species
UACGAAGGGUGCAAACGUUGCUCGGAAUUAUUGGGCGUAAAGCGCACGUAGGCGGCCGACUAAGUCGGGUGUGAAAGCCCAGGGCUCAACCCUGGAAGUGCACUCGAAACUGAUCGGCUUGAAUAUGGAAGAGGGUCGCGGAAUUCCCGGUGUAGAGGUGAAAUUCGUAGAUAUCGGGAGGAACACCAGUGGCGAAGGCGGCGACCUGGGCCAAUAUUGACGCUGAGGUGCGAAAGCGUGGGGAGCAAACAGG